CCAGCUUUCCCCAGUCAGAUGUGAGGGGGAGAGCUGGAGACAAAGGAGCUACAGAUCCGAGAAAUCCAGUGAGUUUGGAGCCUUGGAGCUGCCAUACUCUCAUCCAUUAUUGGAAUUGGCCAGGUGAUCCCUUU